UACGAAGGGGGCUAGCGUUGCUCGGAAUCACUGGGCGUAAAGCGCACGUAGGCGGAUUGUUAAGUCGGGGGUGAAAUCCUGGAGCUCAACUCCAGAACUGCCUUUGAUACUGGCGAUCUUGAGUCCGGGAGAGGUGAGUGGAACUGCGAGUGUAGAGGUGAAAUUCGUAGAUAUUCGCAAGAACACCAGUGGCGAAGGCGGCGAUCUGGGAAGAUACUGACGCUGAGGUGCGAAAGCGUGGGGAGCAAACAGG
rnacentral:rRNA from 1 species